CUUGGUCGUACUGAUGGUGAGUUGACGCUGAUCUUAUAUUCAGUAGUUCUUCUCGGCUGUAUGUAAUGAAACCUAAGAUGACCUGGGGUACUAGUGUAAGAAAUAACACGUAAAAAAACAAAAAACUGCAUAGUCUCCUAGGAACGCGAAGCGAGGCGGCCAUCUCUGUCGGCGCCGGAAACUCUGGGUGGAGCCAGCAGGCUGCAAGAUAUUUUCCUUCUAUCACCCCCCCCUCACCUCUCCCUGCAAUCUGCCACGAGAUAUAUAUAUUUGUUUAAGUGCCUGUUUUCCACACAGUGUCUGAGACAAAGAAAGUGCCUAAGGGCUGCGAUGUUGACUCCAUGAACUGCACUUAUAUCUCUGUCACAACCAGCCCAUCUUACAUAGUGGAGAUUAGUGCAACUGCAGAGACACUUAAGGGGUACCUGGGGAUCAUCAGUGAAAUACUAACUCAUCAAAUCAAGGUAACACAACACAAUAAGUUUUCCUUAUUUCAUUUUAUUUGAAGGAAAGCUUUGAAGUGGCACGUACAUUUAGGGAUUGGUUUAAUUAAGGCAAGUCAUUCUAAUUUGUUAAGGUUAGGAAUGGAUUCAAACCCGUGACCCUGUGUAUGGCAACCCAUAUCAACCUUUUAUAAAUCAGAUACUUAGACAUUACAGGAACCUCUCCAUUCAUCACCAAAACAUACUUCAUUAAUUACAACAACAAAAUCUGAUGAACCUGCUGAUUUGAAACAUUGUUGAUAUUUUUUCAGUCCAAUGAGUCAAUGAUUGUUGUGCAUGAAAACAUUUACAGUUCAAUACGCCUUGUACAAUGGAUCUGCAUUUAUCAACAAAACACUAGUAAGUUUAAGUCUCUAGUGAUAUUACCAAUUACCGAUACAAUGGAUUCAUUCUCCUCCGGUGCAACAGACAGACCUGUUUCAACUUCCAUUACUUAACCUUUGAUUAUUUCAUACUUUUCUUUCAGCUGGAGGUGACAGACAAAGAAUUUGCUUAUGAUCCUAAUAUAAAAAUAAUCCAAUUUAGUUUCAUCAUCCCUGAUAAUUUGGCUCCACAUUUGCUCCAAAACUUGAAUUUAACGCCUAACGUGUUCUGUGUCUGAGGAUCUGUUGAGGAUAAUGGUGAUCUUGGCUCUCCCUCCAUCACACUUUUGACAGGCCUCUCCAGUCAGGUUUCCUCAAGCUGUAGGAAACCCCUUUUUCACGCCCUGUUGAUGACGCUGGUCUGUUGGAACCUCUUCAACCUUCUGCCUUAAAUCUGCCGAACUUCCAAAGGAGAACUUUGUAUCUAAGUUUAACAUUUUAUUGAUUUGGCCAUUUUUGUUCAAUAUAUAUAUAUCCUGUAGUCAGGCAUAUUUAUGCAAAUGUGUGUAUCUUUUCUCCUGUCAAUUAUGUUUUGUUUAAUGUUUAUUUGUUUCAUUUAUUUUUUAUUUUUUGAAAUGUACAUAGCAUACAGUGUAAAACUAUUCAAAUAUACCAACACAAUAUCUUUAUAUUCUUAUCAAUGCUAAUGUAAAUUAAUGUUUUUGUGUCCUGAUAAGAUGAGUCAUUUGGACGUUUUACAGAUGUUAUGUAUCUGAUACUGAAGGCCUUUUGCUCCACUAGGGGGUGAAAGGAACAAGUACUUCAAAUAUUUGAUAUGGAAGAGCCUCUAGAGCAAGAGAAGUUAAGAAAUAUAUACUCUUAUGCAAGAACACUGUCCAUAUAUAUUUUGAACAUAAUUUCUUCUCCCGUACCAUAUAAUUUUGUAUUUCUUUGGCUGUGUUUACACAGGCAGCCCAAUUCUGAUCUUAUUUUAUUAAUUGGUCUUUUGACCAAUCAGAUCAGCUUUAAAAAAUAGCUGAUGUGAAAACAUCUGAUGUGAUAGGUCGAAAGACCAUUUAGUGGAAAAAAAUUCACAAUUGGGCUUCCUGUGGAAACGCGUACUUUGUGAUGGUAACACAUUUACAGGUAGACCAGAGAAGCCACAUCCCUGAUUGGCAGAUGAAUCGCAACGCUGAUUAGAAGCACCUGCUACUCACCGCUAACUCACCUGUCUUCCCUAUAAUAAAUACUGUUUCUUAUUGAAAAAGUUGUGAACCUACACACUGUAGAAGGCUGUUAAGCCAAAUCAUAUGUGGAUGCUAUCCUGAUGUAGUAAAAAUAAUAACAAUAAAUAAAAAAUUAACUAAGCUUUAUGCAAUAUCUUUUUGAGUGCGGACCCAUCACACUUUCUAAAUAAUGCAAAAGGAAGAGGCCUGGUCAAGAAGAUUGACACCAUCACACCCCUCAAGGGGAUCCCCAAAGCCCCGUUCCGUAGCCCCACCACCCCCAGUAUGUUCAGCCCGCCGAGCAACCGCACACCCAUAGCCCCCGCACGGACGCCCCUGCGCAAGGAGAGGGGAGUCAAGUUGUUAGUCAUCGAAGUAAGUGAAGAGGUGUAAAAAGGAGCUUUUCUGUAAUAAUUUUAUGAAUAGAGAUAUAAGUAACAUUGAAAAUAUGCUUCGUGAUUUUGUAGAAUAGCAUAGCCAGGGGUGGGGAUGAAAAGGACACACGAUUGUAGAAAAAUAAUACUUGAUUUUUAGAAAAUGAAAUGUAUUGGUCAUAUACACAUUAUUUGUGUAUUUAACCAGGCUAGUAAGUUACUUAUAAUGACAGCCUAGGAACAGUGGGUUAACAUCCUUGUUCAGGAUGACAGAUUUUUACCUUGUCUGCUCAGGGAUUCGAUCUAGAAACCUUUAGGUUACUGGCCCAAAGCUCUAACCAGUAGGCUACCUGCCACCCCUUGUGUUGAGGAUUUAACAGAUCUUAUUGUGG
ensembl:lncRNA